rnacentral:rRNA from 1 species
UCAUAUGCUUGUCUCAGUCGUACAAGGUUUCACUGUAGUCAUAUGCUUGUCUCAAGUCGUAACAAGGUUUAAAGUAGUAAUAUGCUUGUCUCUAUCGUAAUAGGGUUGUUGAAAAGAAUGCUUAAGGGGUGUAUUUAUUAGAUAAAAAACCAAUGCCCUUCGGGGCUCCUUGGUGAAUCAUAAUAACUUAACGAAUCGCAUGGCCUUGCGCCGGCGAUGGUUCAUUCAAAUUUCUGCCCUAUCAACUUUCGAUGGUAGGAUAGUGGCCUACCAUGGUGGCAACGGGUAACGGGGAAUUAGGGUUCGAUUCCGGAGAGGGAGCCUGAGAAACGGCUACCACAUCCAAGGAAGGCAGCAGGCGCGCAAAUUACCCAAUCCCGACACGGGGAGGUAGUGACAAUAAAUACUGAUACGGGGCUCUUUUGGGUCUCGUAAUUGGAAUGAGUACAAUCUAAAUCCCUUAACGAGGAACAAUUGGAGGGCAAGUCUGGUGCCAGCAGCCGCGGUAAUUCCAGCUCCAAUAGCGUAUAUUAAAGUUGUUGCAGUUAAAAAGCUCGUAGUUGAACCUUGGGUCUGGCUGGCCGGUCCGCCUCACCGCGAGUACUGGUCCGGCUGGACCUUUCCUUCUGGGGAAUCUCAUGGCCUUCACUGGCUGUGGGGGGAACCAGGACUUUUACUGUGAAAAAAUUAGAGUGUUCAAAGCAGGCCUUUGCUCGAAUACAUUAGCAUGGAAUAAUAGAAUAGGACGUGCG